CUGAGAUCAGCUCACCUGUCGCUCCUUUCUUCUCCCUCAUCAUCGCGGUGGAUGAAGGUUUCAUCCAGGCUGCAGGAGCAGAUCUGCAGAAUAAUCAAACGCAACACGCACGACAUCUGCUAAAGUCGAUGUUCGUGGUCUUCGGGGGAAGUCUGGACACUUUGUCCUGAUCCAGAUGUCAGUCGUCAUGUGUCCAGUUGUUUAACGUCUCCUUCAAAGAAGACGAUAUAUGGAGGAUGUUUCUUUCGGGCCUCAGCUGGAGGAUUUCCCUCCAAACAAACACCAACAUCUGCAGUAAACCUCCACCCAUCCACCCGGCCCCCGGAGGGUAAGUCCUGCUGCCCCCCAUACGUCCCAGGGACGAGCAGCAGACGGACAUUCACGCGUCCAUUCAUUAUUUCACUGUCCAGUGAGGGUUUAAGUUGUCAGCUCAGUUCAUCUCUGGGGUGGAGGGGGCUGAGGGAGGCCAGGGAUUUACAGGCCGCUUCAGAGCUUCAUGCAGCAGGAGUCAGGGCUUAAGAGUCUGAGACCUCAGAGAUCUGCAGGGAUCCUCCUCCAUGUGUCAGGGCUUCAUUCAUUUAGACACUGCUAAAAAAAAAAACGUGUUUACAGCUCAUUAGUGGACCAGGAACUCUCUGAAAGUCCAAACCGACCUCUCGACGUCCCCUCUGAGAGCUACUCCAGCAUGUCCCCCCAGUUCUUGGGCUGCCCCUAUAAAAGACGAGCUUUGCCAUUAGUAGACGUUCGAUCCGGUCGUCAAGUCAAAAACCAACGGGUCGACUCCAAGAAUCCAGGUGUUCAGGUCUCAGCUCUGGUCAUGUGGUCGAUAAACGACGUUGGUUCAGAUCAUUAGAUGCAGAUAUAGUGGAAAUAUUUCACAGAAACCUUCAUUCCCAGGUCAAAAACUAAUGAUCGACUUUGUUGGUCCUUUGAAUUUUCCUCCAGUAGCUGCAGGAAGUUUCCAGUUUAAAUCUUUCCUCUGGACGGACUCAGACAUUUUCUAUAAUUGGUUCCAGUCUGAGAUGUUUCCUUCAGGACAAGCAGCGCUUCUUCAGGUCGGAGUGAGAAUGAACGGAUUUCACUCGUUUUAGAUGAUGUGAGACAAAUAAACCAGUGAAAUGUC